rnacentral:rRNA from 1 species
GACGAACCGUGCGAACGUUGUUCGGAAUCACUGGGCUUAAAGGGCGCGUAGGCGGCUUGCCAAGUCAGGGGUGAAAUCCUGCAGCUUAACUGUAGAAGGGCCUUUGAUACUGGCGAGCUCGAGGGAGGUAGGGGUAUGUGGAACUUCCGGUGGAGCGGUGAAAUGCGUAGAUAUCGAGAGGAACACCAGUGGCGAAGGCGAGUCUCUGGACAUUUCCUGACACUGAGGCACGAAAGCCAGGGGAGCAAACGGG